GAUGAACGCUGACGGCGUGCCUAAUACAUGCAAGUCGAGCGAACGGACGAGAAGCUUGCUUCUCUGAUGUUAGCGGCGGACGGGUGAGUAACACGUGGAUAACCUACCUAUAAGACUGGGAUAACUUCGGGAAACCGGAGCUAAUACCGGAUAAUAUUUUGAACCGCAUGGUUCAAAAGUGAAAGACGGUCUUGCUGUCACUUAUAGAUGGAUCCGCGCUGCAUUAGCUAGUUGGUAAGGUAACGGCUUACCAAGGCAACGAUGCAUAGCCGACCUGAGAGGGUGAUCGGCCACACUGGAACUGAGACACGGCCCAGACUCCGACGGGAGGCAGCAGUAGGGAAUCUUCCGCAAUGGGCGAAAGCCUGACGGAGCAACGCCGCGUGAGGGAUGAAGGUCUUCGGAUCGGAAAACUCUGUUAUUAGGGAAGAACAUAUGUGUAAGUAACUGUGCACAUCUUGACGGUACCUAAUCAGAAAGCCACGGCUAACUACGUG
rnacentral:rRNA from 1 species